UUUCAUAUAAUUUGUUGCAAAAACGCGGGUUGAGCAAUUACUAAUACUGCGACUUCUGAAGAAAUAUAAAUGUGGUGAUAAACAAAUGCAAAGAAAAUAGAACACAAUAAUUUACGUGGUUCGGCGUAAUGCCUACAUCCUCGGGCAAAGACUGGAAGAUAAUUUUACUAAUAAUGUGACUUUACAAAAGUGGGAAAAACUCACAAUAACCCACAACCCCAAUACACCCAAAUAGAACUUCACUAGAACACUCAAGUAGAACCUCUCUCAAAUUCUCUCAAAGAACUCACUUGCAAUUGCUCUCUACUUCUCUCAA
rnacentral:lncRNA from 1 species